UUAAACGUUUACAAAACAAGGAUUCUUUUGUAAACGAGGAUCUAGUUUUAUGGAUUACCUGUGGAACGUAUCACAUUCCGCGAACUGAAGAUUUGCCCAUGAAGAGCAGCGUCGGGCCAAAGGUUGGGUUCACUUUACUGCCUUUCAAUUAUCACAACGAGUGCCCCUCUAUGUCGUCACGUGAUGCAGUCUACAUCCAGCACAGCAACCCACUGGACCAUAGACAAGGAGUGGACAUUACAAGAAACGGCAAUCGCAAUGACCAAUGUCUUACACCAGAGUCUACGCUAGAGAAAGAUCUUCUCUCCAAUCCAGACCUAGUUCUUGAGACCAACCACCAAAAUUAUAAUUAUUAAUAUAUUUAAAUGUUCAUGCAAGUUUUUUAAUUCCAUUAAAAUUUAAAUAAUACUUGUUAUUUUACAUUUAAGGAAAAUAAAAAAAAAGCAACACUAGAAGGAUGGAAUUAAAAAGGGAACAAAAAUUU
rnacentral:sRNA from 1 species